rnacentral:rRNA from 1 species
AGGGUUCCUGAGCAACGAUCGUCGUCUCAGGGUAAGUCGGGACCUAAGCCGAGGCGGAAAAGCGUAGGCGAUGGACAACAGGUUGAAAUUCCUGUACCGGUGUGAAUCGUUUGAUCGAUGGAGUGACACAGUAAGGUAGGUCAGCACGCGAUUGGAAGAGCGUGUUUAAGCAGGUAGGUUGAGCUAUAGGCAAAUCCGUAGCUCUAAAAGCUGAGAUGUGAUGACGAGUGACUAGCAAUAGUCGCGAAGUGAUUGAUCCUACACUGUCGAGAAAAGCUUCUAGGUAGAGACACAUCGCCCGUACCAAAACCGACACAGGUAGGCGGGGAGAGAAUCCUAAGGUGCGCGGGAAAACCCUCGUUAAGGAACUCGGCAAAAUGCCUCCGUAACUUCGGGAAAAGGAGGACUCAUGUAGUGUGAAGAGCAGCAACGCAUGGAGCAUGAAUGAGUGGCACAAGAGAGGCGCAAGCGACUGUUUACCACAAACACAGGUGCCUGCUAAAGCGAAAGCUGAUGUAUAGGUGCUGACACCUGCCCGGUGCUGGAAGGUUAAGAGGAGGGGUUAGACUUCGGUCGAAGCUCUGAAUUGAAGCCCCAGUAAACGGCGGCCGUAACUAUAACGGUCCUAAGGUAGCGAAAUUCCUUGUCGGGUAAGUUCCGACCCGCACGAAAGGUGUAACGAUUUGGGCACUGUCUCAACGAGGGACCCGGUGAAAUUGAAGUACCUGUGAAGAUGCAGGUUACCCGCGACUGGACAGAAAGACCCCAUGGAGCUUUACUGCAACCUAAGAUUGAACUUAGUUAAUGAAUGUACAGGAUAGGUGGGAGACGUAGAACCUAGGACGCUAGUUUUAGGGGAGUCGCUGUUGGGAUACCACCCUUUCAUUAAUUGAUUUCUAACGGGCCGAGUAACGACCGGCCGGACAGUCUUAGGCGGGCAGUUUGACUGGGGCGGUCGCCUCCAAAAGAGUAACGGAGGCGCCCAAAGGUUCCCUCAGAGCGGACGGAAAUCGCUCGAAGAGUGUAAAGGCAGAAGGGAGCUUGACUGCGAGACGGACAGGUCGAGCAGGGACGAAAGUCGGGCUUAGUGAUCCGGUGGUAGAGAGUGGAAUUGCCAUCGCUCAACGGAUAAAAGCUACCCUGGGGAUAACAGGCUUAUCUCUCCCAAGAGUCCAUAUCGACGGGGAGGUUUGGCACCUCGAUGUCGGCUCAUCACAUCCUGGGGCUGAAGUAGGUCCCAAGGGUUGGGCUGUUCGCCCAUUAAAGUGGUACGCGAGCUGGGUUCAGAACGUCGUGAGACAGUUCGGUCCCUAUCCAUCGCGGGCGUAAGAAACUUGAAGGGGGCUGCUCCUAGUACGAGAGGACCGGAGUGGACGAACCGCUGGUGUACCAAUUAUCCUGCCAAGGGUACAGUUGGGUAGCUACGUUCGGGACGGAUAAACGCUGAAAGCAUCUAAGCGUGAAACCAGCCUUGAGAUGAGGUUUCUCAUAGCAUAAGCUAGUAAGAUCCCAUGUAGACGACAUGGUAGAUAGGCCAGGUGUGGAAGAGCCGUGAGGUUUGGAGCUGACUGGUACUAAUCGAUCGAGGGCUUUACUU